GGUGGCUCAGUGGUAGAGCGCUUGCCUUGUAAGCAUGAGGCCCUGGGUUCUGGGUUCGAUUCCUCAGCACCA
rnacentral:tRNA from 1 species